UGGGGAAUAUUGCACAAUGGGCGCAAGCCUGAUGCAGCCAUGCCGCGUGUGUGAAGAAGGCCUUCGGGUUGUAAAGCACUUUCAGCGGGGAGGAAGGCGAUAAGGUUAAUAACCUCAUCGAUUGACGUUACCCGCAGAAGAAGCACCGGCUAACUCCGUGCCAGCAGCCGCGGUAAUACGGAGGGUGCAAGCGUUAAUCGGAAUUACUGGGCGUAAAGCGCACGCAGGCGGUUUGUUAAGUCAGAUGUGAAACCCCCGGGCUCAACCUGGGAACUGCAUCUGAUACUGGCAAGCUUGAGUCUCGUGGAGGGGGGUAGAAUUCCAGGUGUAGCGGUGAAAUGCGUAGAGAUCUGGAGGAAUACCGGUGGCGAAGGCGGCCCCCUGGACGAAGACUGACGCUCAGGUGCGAAAGCGGGGGGAGCAAACAGG
rnacentral:rRNA from 1 species